AAUGCCGCCCAGUCGCCCUAUAUUUUAGAGUCAUGUGGUGACAUAUAUUACCUACACAAGCUCGAUCAUGAGAGGCUUGCUGGUCGACAACGUCGGUAUGGAUCCAUGGGGGAUAUCGACUUCAGCAGGGGGGAACAGGUGCGGCUUGGAAAUGAAAUAAGUUACCUGUAAUAAAGUGCAUGUUGGAGCAUGCUCUACGAUACGGCUAC